rnacentral:tRNA from 3 species
GCCGCCGUAGCUCAAUGGUAGAGCACGUGAUUUGUAAUCUCGAGGUUACCGGUUCAAGUCCGGUCGGCGGCU